CCUAAUCCAAACCCUAUUUCCCUUCAUCUUUUUCCUUCCGCCUCUUCAUCCUCUGGCUUUUUUUUUUUUUUGAGCAACUGAUGUGCUUGGACGGAAGUCUGGUCACCCCAGGUCUUCUCCACCCUCCGAAACCCCUUAACCCAACCUCUUUCCCUUUUCCUCCCACUCGAUCCGACCUCUCUCUCUCUCUCUCUCUCUCUCUCUCUCUCUCUCUCUCUCUCUUUAUUCACUGUCUCACACGGACGGCUAGGCCACGAUGGCCAUCCUCCAGUCCACGGUAGUCGAAACGAACCACACCACGGUGCUCGCAACCACGGCAAAACCCAAAUCCCAAAGAUUUUUUAUUUUUCUCUCUCGCCGGAGCCAUUUCUGGGUUUUUCUCUCGCCGGAGCCAACCUCACUCCUAUAUCUCUCCCGCCCGCCAUGGCCACUCCCUCGCUGGCAUGGGCGUCUUCUCUGGGUUCACUCGGCUAUGCAAGGGUGUUACCGUCGAAAAUUAUACUCACUAGGCUAUGCAAGGGUAUAAGUUUGAGUGUAAUUAUUUUUGAGAGGCAUGGUGCUACAGCUUUGAAUCUUGAGACUCAUAGAUUUUGUGAAUAUAAGUUUGAAUAAAAUUGUUUGGGUAUAAAUUUAUUUACUAUUUAAUGUAAUUGUUUCUGAUAUGAAAAAUUUGUAGAUCUUGAAAAAAUGUUGUAUAAAGGAUAAUUGAAUUUAUGUUUUAUAAAUUUUAUUUUAUUAA